rnacentral:rRNA from 1 species
CCCUUAGAUGUUCUGGGCCGCACGCGCGCUACACUGUUUGAUUCAGCGAGUCUUAACCUUGACCGAAAGGUUUGGGUAAUCUUCUAAAGUCAAACGUGAUGGGGAUCGAUCAUUGCAAUUAUUGAUCGUGAACGAGGAAUUCCUAGUAAAUGCAAGUCAUCAGCUUGCGUUGAUUACGUCCCUGCCCUUUGUACACACCGCCCGUCGCUACUACCGAUUGAAUGGUUUAGUGAGAUCUCCGGAUUGGUCUCGGCCCGCUCUUUACCGGGCGGCGCCGUUGGUCGAGAAGACGCUCGAACUUGAUCGUUUAGAGGAAGUAAAAGUCGUAACA